UAUUGACUUAUUUACUUUCUUAGCUUAACAUGGAUUUAUCAAAUUAAUUAAACUAACAACGUGAAUGAGAAGUUCAAGUUUCAAUUUCUUGCAAAAUUAAUUUCAAUCAAACAAUCAAAACAAAAUAACGAAAAGAAAAGAAAAGGUGAUACAACAUUUAGAUGGAUCUAAACCAAAAAAGAGCAUUAUAUAAAAUAGGAAACAGUAAAUUAAAAGAACAAAUCCUUCGUUGAUAGAGUUCUAACCGUUUGGUGCAUACAAAGAAACGACACUCAAAUGAGGUACUGACUGAAACCUGGACCAGCGACGCAACCUCGAUCGGAAAAUCGGAACUCGAAUCGUCGGAAAAUGGCAAGACUCAGUUGUAACUUUUGUUACUGUAAUUGCAAAACAUGCUUGCUGCAGGAUCAGAUUCAACAUUCAUUUCAUUGGAUUGGGCAAUGACGGAGCUGCUGAUUGUAUUUGGAUCGAAGGAGACCAUUUAAAUUUCUUUUUAAAAAAUGGAAAGGGCUGCCAUUUUUUUCCUUCUUUGAAUUGGAAUUCAAUCAAAGAUUGCCUUCGAUCUCCUUUUUAGAUCUUAGAGUCAGGUACUUUUUUUUUUUUUUUUUUUGUAUUUCUUAUCAUUUUUCGCUGAUGGCUCCGAUGUAUUGCGGCGUUGAUUAGUUUUUCAGUCUUUAGGUCUUUUUUGGGCGUUGGUCUAUUUUAGGUGUUAGCUACUAUUAUACAGGGGUAAGAAUUAUGUUAGGGGUAUGAGUCUAGAAAUUAUGGACUAGGUUCAAAAAUUAGGCCUAAAAAUGGGCUGCUCGAGCCCAAAUUUUAUUCUUUCCCCGCGAACGAGAUUAAAAUACGAUCUCAUUUAUUAAUUAGUCCUACUUAAGUAAAAUAACUGUUUAAAUAAGACUGACCGUUAAAACAAAAUUAUUUUUUUGUAUUUUUCAAGAUUAAAAAUGACUACAAAACAUUAAUGGAACAAUUUUUUGUAAUUUUCAUUUUUCUUGUAAUAAAAUAAAGUAAAAGAGUAAAAAUUAGUUGAAAUAGCUAUAUUAGGUCUAAAUUAAAUAUUUACGUGCUAAAAUAUGAAAAAACAUCUUGGGGAGGGUCAAAAAUCACAUGUCUACACCUGCUAGGGAUGCCACCCUACAGGGAUAUUGACUUCUGUAUUGAUUUGGUUCCAGGCACUCAGCCCAUUUCUAUUCCGCUAUAUCGUGUGGCCCCGCCAGAGUUGAAAGAGUUGAAGGAGCAGUUGCAAGAUUUGCUUGAUAAGAGAUUCAUUAGACCUAGUGUCUCGCUCAGGGAUGUGCCCGUGUUAUUUGUAAAGAAGAAGGAUGGAUCGAUGAGGAUGUGCAUAGAUUAUCGGUAGUUGAACAAGAUCACUAUCAAGAACAAGUAUCCAUUGCUGAUGAUUGAUCACUUAUUUGAUCAGCUUUAGGGAGAAGGUGUUUUCAAAGAUCAAUUUGAGGUCUGUAUACCAUUAGUUGAGGAUUAGGGCAUUCGAUGUCCCUAAUACAGCUUUUUGGACUCGAUAUGAGCAUUAUAAGUUCCUGGAGAUGUCAUUUGUCUUGACAAAUGCCCCAGCAACAAAUGGAUUUGAUGAACUAAGUGUUCAAGCCUUACCUGGAUUCUUUUGUAAUUGUGUUUAUUGAUGAUAUCUUGAUCUACUCCCACAACUGAGAGGAGCACGAGCAACAUCUUCUGAUCGUACUUCAGACUCUGAGAGACAGUUAGUUAUAUGCUAAUUUUAGAAUGUGCGAGUUUUGGUUGGACUCGGUUGCCUUCUUGGGGCAUGUUGUAUCAGUAGAGGGUAUUCAGGUGAUACCUAAGAAGAUUGAGGCCGUUCAGAAUUGGCCUAAGCCUACUUAAGCUAUAGAGAUCCGUAGUUUCUUGGGAUUGGCAGGUUAUUACCGUCGAUUUUUGGAGGGGUUUUCAUCUAUAGCAGCCCCGUUGACCAGGUUGACCCAGAAGGGUGCUCCGUUCAGAUUGCCAGACGAGUGUGAGGUGAGCUUUCAGAAGUUCAAGACAGCUUUGACUACGAUGUUGGUGUUGGUGCUGCCCACAAGUUCAGGGCCUUAUACUGUGUAUUAUGACGCAUCUCGUAUUGGACAUGGUGCGGUAUUGAUGCAGGGUGGCAAGGUUAUUGCAUAUGCUUCACGGCAGCUGAAGGUUCACGAGAAGAAUUUCCAUGUUCAUGACUUAGAGCUAGCAGCCAUUGUUCACGCACUGAAGAUUUGGAGGCACUAUCUUUAUGACAUGUCAUAUGAGGUGUUCACGGAUCAUCGGAGUUUGCAGUACUUAUUUAAGCAAAAGGAGCUCAAUUGGAGGUAGAAGAGGUGGUUGGAGCUAUUGAAAGACUAUGAUAUCACCAUCUUGUAUCAUCUUGGGAAGGUCAAUAUGGUGGCCGAUGCUUUGAGUAGGAAGUCAGCUAGUAUGGGCAGUCUUGCAUACAUUCCAAUCAAUGAGAGACCGCUUGCAUUAGAUGUUCAGGCCUUAGCCAAUCAGCCUAUGAAGUUGGAUGUUUCUGAGCCCAAUCGUGUUUUAGCUUGCACAGUCGCUUGGUCUUCUUUGUUUGAGCGCAUCAAGGAGCGGCAGUAUGAUGACCCUUAUUCACUUAUCCUUAAGGACACAGUGUGGCACGGUGAUGCCAAGCAGGUUACAGUUGGAGAUGAUGGAGUUUUGAGGAUGCAGGGUCGUGUUUGUGUGACUAAUGUAGAUGGACUUCGUGAGUUGAUACUAGAGGAGACCCACAGUUCCCGGUAUUCUAUUCUUCCAAGCGCCGCCAAGAUGUAUCAGGACUUGCAGCAGCAUUAUUGGUGGAGGAGGAUGAAGAAGGAUAUAAUUUCAUAUAUAGCUCGGUGUCUAAAUUGUCAGCAAGUAAAGUACGAGCAUUAACGACAUGGUGGUUUGAUUCGGAAGAUAGAGAUUCAUGAGUGGAAGUGAGAGCGUAUCACUAUGGAUUCCCACAGACUCAAAGGAAGUUUGAUGCAGUUUGGGUUAUUGUGGAUAGACUAACUAAGUUAGCGUAUUUCAUUCCCGUGGCAGUUACCUAUUCUUUAGAGUGGUUGGCAGAGAUUUGUAUCCGUUAGAUCGUUCGUCUUCACGGUGUACCCGUGUCUAUCAUUUAUGAAUGAGGUACGCAGUUAGGUAUGCAUGUUGAGUUGAGCACAACAUUUCAUCCUCAAACGAAUAGACAGUCCGAGCAUACUAUUCAGAUCUUGAAGGAUAUGUUCCGCGCAUGUGUUAUAGUUUAGAGGAUCGUGGGAUCAAUUCUUGCCGCUAGCAGAGUUUUCCUACAACAACAACUAUCAGUUGAGCAUCCAGAUGGCUCCCUAUGAGGCAUUAUAUGGUAGACAGUGUCGGUCACCGGUUGGAUAGUUUGAGCCAGAUGAGGCUCGGUUAUUGGGUACAGAUUUGGUACUGGAGGCUUUAGAUAAGGUUAAGAUAAUUCAGGAUAGACUUCGCACAGCUCAGUCCAAGCAUAAGAGUUAUGCCGACCAUAGGGUUUGUGAUGUUGCAUUCAUGGUCAAAGAGAGAGUUUUGCUUCAGGUAUUACCCAUGAAGGGUGUAAUGAGGUUCGGAAAGAAGGGCAAGUUGAGCCCUAGGUAUAUCGGGCCUUUUGAGAUCCUUGAGCGAGUAGGAAAGGUGGUCUACAUAUUGCAUUUCCACCAGGUUUAUCAGCGGUACAUCUAGUGUUUCAUAUGUCCAUGCUUCGGAAGUAUCACGACGAUCCAUCCCACGUGUUAGAUUUCAACACUCUCCAGUUGGACAAGGAUUUGACUUACGAGGAGGAGCCCAUAGCUAUUCUAGACCGGCAGGUUCGUUAGUUGAGGUCGAAGAGUUAUCCUUUAGUUCGGGUGCAGUUGAGAGGUCAGCCUAUUAAGGCAACCUGGGAGUCCGAGUCCGUUAUGCGGAGUAGAUAUCCCUACCUUUUCACUAGCUCAGGUACUUUUUUAUGCCUGCUCGAGGAUGAACGGUUGUUUUAGAGGUGGAGAAUGUGAAUGGGUCUUAUGUUUUAAAACUCGACUGUCGUGUCCCGAGGGCUUUAAAACCUCAUUUUAUUCCUCCUCGAUUUGCUUGCACAGUCUGGGCGUGUUUUCGAAAAGAUUUUAGGUUGAAAGUUGAUAAAAAUAAGGAAUUUUUCUUUAAAACCACAUUAAAGUUGACUUUGGUCAAUGUUUUUAGUAAAUGGACCCGAACUAGAAUUUUGAUAGUCUCGUUGGGUCCGUAUUGAAAUAUGGGACCUGAGCGUAUAUCCGGAAUCGAAUUUCGAGGUCCCUAGCUUGAGAUAUAAAUUUUUGUUGAAAAUUGAAAGACUGAAAAUCUAAAGAUUUUGAGAAUUUGGUUAAUAUUUGAUCUUGUUGGUAUCGGGUUUGUAUUUUGGUUCCCGAUCCCAGUAAAGGUUCAAUAUAAUAUUUAUAAAUUAUCUGUAAAAUUUGGUGUGAAACAGAGUUGGUUUGACGUGAUUCGGACGUCCGGUUGAGGAAAUAGAAAUUUUAAGGUGUUCUAGAGAAUUUCAUUUGAUUUGGUGCUAAAUUUGUAGGUCUAGGUGCUGUUUUUGGUGAUUUGCUCGCACGAGCAAGUUCGUGUGAUGUUUUAAGACUUGUGUGCAUGUUUGGUUUGGAGUCCCGAGGGCUCGAGUAAGUUUUGGAUAGGCUAUGGAGUGAAUUAAACUUAAGAAUACUUCUGGUGUGCUUCAUGUCUGCAGACCUCGCAUUUAGGAGGUCUGGCUCGCAAAUGCGAGCCUCGCAUUUGCGAAGAAGCUUCGUAUUUGUGAGCAGUUGGGCUGGGAGGGGACCUUCGCAAUUGCGAAGCUCAUCAUCGCAAUUGUGAUCAUUUCAGGCCGCAAAUGUGAACAACUGUUUGCAUUUGAAAAGGCGAUAGAGCUGGUGUGCUUUAGGUCUGCAGACCUCACAUUUGUGAGGUUUGGCUCGCAAAUGCGAGCCUCACAUUUGCGAAGAAGCUAGGCUGGGAGGGGACCUUCACAAUUACGAACAACUGUUCGCAUUUGUGAACGUAGAGCUAGGGAAACUUCGCAUUUGCGAAGGUUUUCUUGCAAUUGCGGGCUUCACAUUUGCCACAUCUGCAGUUGAUGGAAAGAGACUUAGGCGGGAUUUUUCUCUCAUUCUUCAAAUUUUCAAAACCUAAGACCCAAGAGGUGAUUUUCCAAAGACUACUUCUUUCCCAAAUCAUAGUUAAGUGAUUCUAAAGUAGUUUCUUUCAAUCUUUCACUUCAUUUUACAAGAUUUCAACCUAGAAUCUAAGAUCUUCAUGGUGGAAUUGGAGAUUUUUGGGAAGAAACUAGGGAUUUCGAAAUCUGGGGAUUUAGACCUCAAAUUGAGGUCGGAUUCCAAAACCAAUUAUAUAUCCGGGCUCGGGGUGAAUGGGUAAUCGGGUUUUGGUCUGAAUUUCGGGUUUGGACCAAGCGAGCCCGAGUAUUGACUUUUGUUGAUUUUUUAAAAAAUGGCCUAAGAAUUUUAACUAUUAAAAAAUAGUUUUUGUCUCCUUAUUAUUUUUAAUAUUGUAAUUUAUUUUUAUUUUGUUGUAUCAUUGUCAUCGUUAAUAUUACUUGUAUUCCUACAAUUAAUUAUAUUUUUUGAUAAUGUUAUAAAUGUUAUUGUUGUUAUGAGUAAAAGAUCUUCUUAGAAUUUUCAGAUCUCCAAUAGAUUUGUUGUGAUAUAGGGUGUGUUUGGUAUGAAGGAAAAUGUUUUUCUUGGAAAAUCAAAUGUUCUCUCAUUUUUUAAGGAAAUAUUGGUAUGAAGAGAGAGGCGGCAGAAGAAUAGGGAGAGAGGAGAUGAGAAAAAAAGGGUUUGAUUGAAUCACUUAAUUGAAGGCACUAAGUUCUUUAAAGGAAAAUGUAUACAACUUGUAAAGAAAAUACAGUUAGAUUUGGUAAAUAGUAAAACUUUAGUUGAAACGUCUAGAAAAAAGUCAACAAUUCAUAAGAAAAUAAACACAUUAAUUAAAGCUUGGUAAGAGUUGGACGGGUUGGUCUAUGACCCUACCAUUAAGGCGUGAUAUGCCAGUUAUGUUCGUUCUCACUCUCUCUUCCUUCUCUCUCUAUCAACAAGUUUCUCAAUACUCUCUCUUCUCCCUCAAGGCAACCGUUGUAGCAGCCAUUUUCAGUGGCGAUGGUGGACUUUCCGUAGCGAAGAGAAUAGAUCUGAAGCAAAGAUGGAGUAGGUGAUCAAAUCUGGCCAUGACUACGGAUUGAGUUUUUAAAAAUCUGAAGCAGAAUCAUAGCAGCCAUUUAUUUAUAUUAAUAUUUUUGCUUUUCUUCCCUUACAAGUCAUAAUAAAUCCAAUUAUAAAGAGACUCGAAGUCAUAAACCUCCAACUUCGGCUGAAGAAACGAAUAUACACCAAACUUUGCCUCUUGAGAAAAAGGAGAAGUAAUAUAUACUAGUAUUCCUAGUAGAAGCAGAAGGAGAGAAAGACAAAGAAGCAAUAAGAGAAAAAAAUGGAAAUCAAGAAAACCUCACCAUCGAUCCACAAAAUGAAGCACUCAUCAACACAUUCUGUGAAAUCAAUUCUGCUUCCAAACCCGAAGCUUUUUCUUCUUCGAAAGCCACAACUUCGUUUUGGAUUCCACCAUUUCCACUUUCUUCUCUUCUUUGUUAUUUAGUCACAUACAAUGAUACAAAUACAUUGUAUUUUGUACAAAUACACUCAAAUACAUUGUACUUUUGUAUAAAUAUAUUAUUUUUCGCCUGUAUUUAUAUAUUCUAAAGGUUUGUAUUUUUGAAUACAACCAAAUAUCACUGUGUUUGUGAUUUUUGUUGUUUCAAUAUAGUCAAAUUGAAUACGAGUGAAUGCAAUUUGUAAUAGUGAAUAAUGAAUAUCUGUGAAUUAAAUAUAACGUAUACAGUUGAAUUGAAUAGAAUAGUAUACACCUAUUUCUUGAUUACCUCAUUGUAAUACAGUCGCGCAAAUACAUGGAAUACAACACAGUAGCAGGGAAAUUUAUGUAGAAUUGAUUUUGUUGAGUUAAAUUUGGAGUGAUACACGCUAAUUGAUCCUCUUUCUAUUAUUAAACAGCUGGACUCCCUAUUUUUAGGAGAAUUUCGAAUACAACAAAUAUAGUUGCGUAACAACUAAAUAGUACAGUCAAACCUCUCUAUAACAGCCUCAUUUGUUCCGAAUAUUUUUGGUUGUUAGAGCAAAGUGCUGUUAUAAAGAAUACAUAUUAUAACAUAACGUGAAAAUUAGUUCCGAAAAAACUUGGCUUUUAUAAUGAAGUGUUGUUAUAUAGGGAGGUUGUUAUAGAGAUGUCUGACAGUAUCUAUAGGAAGUAAUUAUGUAUAUGGUAGCUGUAAUGACCCGACCGGUUGUUUUAAGCUCUAGCGCGUCGUUCGGCAGUUUGAGGCCUUGGGCAGCUUCAUUUCAGGUCUUAUGACUUGUACGCAUGGUCGGAAUUGAAUUUUGGGAGGUUCGGAGUUGAUUUGGAAAGAAAGUUUUCAUUUCAGAAGAUUUAAGUUGGAAGAAUUUGACUAAGGUUGGAUUUUCGAGUAAACGACCACAAAAUAUGGAUUUGAAGGUUUCAGCAGGUUUGUAUGAUGAUUUUGGAUUUGAGCGUAUGUUCGGAUCAGGUUUUAGAUGAUCCGGGAGCGUUUCGACGUCUAUUGUGGAAGUUAGCAUUAUUGGAAGAAUUUCAUAAAUUUGGGUUGAGGUGUAUUUCAGUGUUAUUGAUGUGCGUUUGGGAUUCUGAAUCUGGGAAUAAAUCUGUUGGUGAUCCUGGUAUUUGGAGCACAUCCGGAUGUGGAUUUGGAGGUCCGUAGGUCAUUUUGGAGUCGUUUGGUGAAAGUUAGAAAUUUGAAGGUUUUUGAGAAGUUUGACCGAAAGUGGACUUUUUGAUAUCGAGGUUGGAUUCUGAUUCCAGAAGUUGGAGUAGGUCCAUAGUGUCGAAUGUGACAUGUGUGCAAAAUUUGAGGUCAAUCAGACGUGAUUUGAUAGGUUUCAACAUUUAAUGUUGAAGUUUGAAGUUCUAAAGUUCAUUAAGCUCGAAUUGGGGUGUGAUUCAUGAUUUCGAUGUUGUUUGAUGUGAUUUGAGGCCUCAAUCAAGUUUGCAUUAAGUUAUGAGACUGUUUGGUGUGAUUGGACGGGGUCCCAGGGGCCCCGGGUGUGUUUUGGGGUGGUUUUGGGCCAAUUCUUGGUUAAACUGCUGCUGAUGUUUGCUGGUGCUGGUGUUGUUCUUUGCGAACACGAAGGGCCUCAUGUGUUCGCGAAGAAGGAGUCCGACUGAGGGCUCUUUUGUUCUUCGUGUUCGCGACAGGAGGGUCGCGUUCACGAAGGGCAGGGCAGUGGUGCUUCGCAUUCCCGAUCCUUGUGUCGCGUUCGCGUAGAGUAAAUGGGUACAGAGACGGAUUCUCUUCGCGAACACGAGGGGGUUGCCGCGUUCACGAAGAAGGAUUUCUGGGCAUGAGGUUUUGAGCUUCGCAAAUGCGAAGGAUGUUCCGCGUUUGCGAUGAAGGGUCGUCUCGACAGUGUUCUUUUAAAUCGGAGUUUUGGCUCAUUUUCACUUCAUUUCUUCAAUGAGAGGCAAUUUUGGAGCAAUUUUGGAGUGUCAUUUCUUGCGUCUUCUAUGGGGUAAGUGAUUUCUUCUCAUUGUGAGUGAAAUACAUGAUAUGUAUAUGGACUUAGAGAUAAAAAUUUGUAGAAAUUGUGGGAUUUGGAAGAAAACCUAAAAAUUUACAUUUUUGGAUUUUGGACAUGAAUUUGGGCAUGGAAUUGAGAAUAAAUUAUAUAAUUGAGUUCGUAAUGGCGUGGGUAAUGUUUAUCUUCCAAAAAUUUCGAAAUCCGGAUACGUGGGCUCGAGGGUGAUUUUAUCGACUUUCCGAGUGGAGUUGGGAAUUGUUGUAAAUUGAAUUGUUAUGAGUAUUAAGGUAUAUUUUUAUUGGUUUGCACAUUGUUUGGCUAGUUUUGAAGCGUUGGGCAUCGGUUCGAGGUGCUAGAGUGGCGUUGGAGACGGUUAUGGGACUUCCGAGCGAAGUCAGUCUCCUUUCUAACCUUGUAAGAGGGAAGUAACCCAUAGGUGAAAUAAUUCGAUAUGUGCUUCUAUUUGUGGGGGCUACGUACACACGAGGUGACAAGAGUUCGUGCGUAGAUACUAUUAUGCUUAAGUCCGGGUAGUCUAGGACCCAAAAGCAUGAUAUACUUGCAAUAUUUGUACCCUUAAUGUCAAUUUAAAUUGCCUAAAUCAUAUCGAAUUGGUAAAUGAAUUUCUAAAAGGUUAAACUUCAUUUUCUUGAUCGUUAAAAGAGGAUUGACAUAUCCUUGGAUAAAUGCUCCUUGAUAAUACUUGAUUGACUAUUUGAUUGUGUUUUCCUUUUGUGGAAUUGGUCGAAUGCCUCGGUAGAUUAAAUUGAUGCAUCUAUGGUUCGAGUCGUUCGACCCUCCGACAGUGCAUAGUUUAAUAUUAUGUUGGAUCAGGCUGUAUGACCACGACAUGAUUGCCCAUGACUUAAUUGUUUGUUUUUGAAUUAUUGAUGAUUGAUGCCUCGUUGGCCGGAGGUAAAUCGUUAAAAUAUGAAAAUAAAUCUCCUAUUAACAAAAGAAUUGUUUACCUGCUUCAUGUUAUUGAGUAUGCAUUCAUCUUAUAAAACCCAUGAUUAAUCAUAUUAUCGAUAUAUCAUUGUUAGUCGUAGUAAGUGUCAGAGUCGACCUCUCAUCACUACUUCUUCGAGAUUAGACUGGAUACUUACUCGGUAUGCGUUGUUUUGCGUACUCAUACUACACUUGCUGUACAUUUUGUAGUACAGGCACAUGUAUGACUUGUGGCCUAGUGAGCGCAGCGACAUGGUUGACACGCACUUAAGUGAGCUGCAUCUUAUGUACGAUCCACAGCCAGCAGAGUCUCCUUCAGAGUAUUUGUAUUUUCUUUUCUGUCCAAAUUUG
rnacentral:lncRNA from 1 species